CCACACAAAUAAGCAACGAAGAUAGAGAGUAAAAUGAUAGUUAU
rnacentral:guide_RNA from 1 species